AUGCACAGAGGAAGAGCACCAUGCCCCGACGACGGGGCAGCCAUGCCAUACUUGAGGCGGGCAGUGGCGGGCACGAGGCGGGCGGCGCGGGGAGGAGCUCCACCCGUCCUCCGCGCAAGGAGGUCAACACCGGCCAGCCGCCGGUGCGCUCCACAUGCAGGCGUCGGCAAGCUCGAACGUCUCGCCGACCUGGGCGCCUCCUUCAGCGGCGCCGGAAUCCCCUUCAGCCCGGUGGCCCUAGCCUCCACUCCGGCAGCGGCCGUUGCUCCUACAAGCACUAGGUCCUGGCGCAACACCAGUAAAUGUGCUGCCUGCACGAGGAUGUGGCAGGCUACAGGUUCGUUCGUUGGACAUUUGAGCUCUCUACCAUCAGUCGAGUGGAUAGUUGAAAUUUUCAAUGUGCAACCAAAUUACAUAGUUCAUUUUUUCACAUGGCAUUUUUUGUUGUGUUCACUUGUGUGCAAGCUGUGGAAGAUGAAUGCCCUAGGACUUUUGCAUACCAUGGCAUUUUAA
rnacentral:rRNA from 1 species